rnacentral:rRNA from 1 species
UGCGUAGGCGGUUCUAUGAGUGUGAUGUGAAAGCCCUGGGCUCAACCUAGGAAGUGCAUCGCAAACGAUAGAACUGGAGUAUGUGAGAGGGUGGCGGAAUUUCCGGUGUAGCGGUGAAAUGCGUAGAUAUCGGAAGGAACGUCGAUGGCGAAGGCAGCCACCUGGCACAAUACUGACGCUGAGGCACGAAAGCGUGGGGAUCAAACAGGAUUAGAUACCCUGGUAGUCCACGCUGUAAACGAUGAUAACUAGAUGUUGGUAGGGGAACCUAUCGGUAUCGAAGCUAACGCGAUAAGUUAUCCGCCUGGGAAGUACGGCCGCAAGGUUGAA